UACGUAGGGUGCAAGCGUUGUCCGGAAUUAUUGGGCGUAAAGAGCUCGUAGGCGGUCUGUCGCGUCUGCUGUGAAAAACUCGGGGCUUAACCCCGGGCCUGCAGUGGGUACGGGCAGACUAGAGUGCGGUAGGGGAGACUGGAAUCCUGGUGUAGCGGUGAAAUGCGCAGAUAUCAGGAGGAACACCGGUGGCGAAGGCGGGUCUCUGGGCCGUAACUGACGCUGAGGAGCGAAAGCGUGGGGAGCGAACAGG
rnacentral:rRNA from 1 species